CCAGCUGUCUCGAGAAAUAGCCCGCUGGUCUCUUCCUGGAUCCAGUGUGUUCUACCAGCUGUCCCGGUGCAAAGUGACCUCCUCCGUGCCUGUUGUAUGCGUAGCGAGGGAAACGAGGUGUGACGCGUGCAGGUUCCUAUGCCACCUGUGUGUUAUGCCACCUGUGUGUGCCAAGUGUAACUUCGUGAUUGGAGGAAACACUUGUAUUUAAACACGUAGCCUAUAGCAAUAAACGCCAUUUGCCUCACUUACUCCUGGGGUCUGGGUGAGCAUCUGGCCCCGACCUGGUAAAGGGUCGGUUUCGCCCAGCAGUAAGCCCUACACGUGGACAGAGGACGAACACCGGACGAGCGAACGGAGACUACAUGCAACAGUGCCCAUCCCAUUCAAAAGGCUUUUCCAGACUGGGCCGUCCUCGAGCAGAGCUUCAUCUUCCACCGUCCUCCAUCAGUCCGCAGUUUGGUACCCAUCAUCGACAGCAUCCUGCCAUCCCUAAGGAAGCUCGCCUUUCCCAUUUUGACUUUGGCUCCGGUAUUUGACAUACGGCCUCCUUGCGCUCACCCCGCAGGCUUUGGUAUCCCCAGGGGGGGUAAAACCAACACGAAUCACAGACUGACAAGCUGUUGGUGCUUUCUUCUUGGAUACUCCGCCUCCCGCCGAGCUCGGAAAACUGGGGAGACUUGUUGUCACUCGUGUUCUUUCCUCCCUUGCCUCAGCACCUAGAAGGAGUUCAUCUGCACCUGGGGCAGCGCAGCUUCCAGCUGGUUGUGCCGCCAUCCCUCCGGUUCCUUAGCAAGCUGAUUCCAGGAUAGCUGGGAUGGCU
ensembl:lncRNA